GACGAACGCUGGCGGCGUGCUUAACACAUGCAAGUCGAACGAAGUGGCGUACGGGUGAGUAACGCGUAAUCCCCCUGCCCUUCACAGGGGGACAACAGUUGGAAACGACUGCUAAUACCGCAUACUGAAGGAGGGGCUUGCGUCUUAUUAGCUAGUUGGAGGGGUAACGGCCCACCAAGGCGAUGAUCAGUAGCCGGGCUGGGAGGAUGGACGGCCACAUUGGGACGGAGACACGGGCCAGACUCCUACGGGAGGCAGCAGGGGGGAAUCUUCCGAAAUGGAAGAAAGUCUGACGGGGCAACGCCGCGUGAGUGAUGACGGCCUUCGGGUUGUAAAGCUCUGUUAAUCGGGACGCGGUACCGGAAUAGAAAGCCACGGCUAACUACGUGCCAGCAGCCGCGGUAAUUC
rnacentral:rRNA from 1 species